rnacentral:piRNA from 5 species
UGGUGUAUGUGCUUGGCUGAGGAG